rnacentral:rRNA from 1 species
GACGAACGCUGGCGGCGUGCUUAACACAUGCAAGUCGAACGGAAAGGCCCUGCUUUUGUGGGGUGCUCGAGUGGCGAACGGGUGAGUAACACGUGAGUAACCUGCCCUUGACUUUGGGAUAACUUCAGGAAACUGGGGCUAAUACCGGAUAGGAGCUCCUGCUGCAUGGUGGGGGUUGGAAAGUUUCGGCGGUUGGGGAUGGACUCGCGGCUUAUCAGCUUGUUGGUGGGGUAGUGGCUUACCAAGGCUUUGACGGGUAGCCGGCCUGAGAGGGUGACCGGCCCAAAUGGGACUGAGAUACGGCCCAGACUCCUACGGGAGGCAGCAGUGGGGAAUAUUGCACAAUGGGCGGAAGCCUGAUGCAGCAACGCCGCGUGCGGGAUGACGGCCUUCGGGUUGUAAACCGCUUUCGCCUGUGACGAAGCGUGAGUGACGGUAAUGGGUAAAGAAGCACCGGCUAACUACGUG